rnacentral:miRNA from 1 species
AGAGUGACUACUUCGUAACAAAAC